GCAGUCGAGCGGACAGAUGGGAGCUUGCUCCCUGAAGUCAGCGGCGGACGGGUGAGUAACACGUGGGCAACCUGCCUGUAAGACUGGGAUAACUCCGGGAAACCGGGGCUAAUACCGGAUAAUUCUUUCCCUCACAUGAGGGAAAGCUGAGAGAUGGUUUCGGCUAUCACUUACAGAUGGGCCCGCGGCGCAUUAGCUAGUUGGUGAGGUAACGGCUCACCAAGGCAACGAUGCGUAGCCGACCUGAGAGGGUGAUCGGCCACACUGGGACUGAGACACGGCCCAGACUCCUACGGGAGGCAGCAGUAGGGAAUCUUCCGCAAUGGACGAAAGUCUGACGGAGCAACGCCGCGUGAGUGAUGAAGGUUUUCGGAUCGUAAAACUCUGUUGUUAGGGAAGAACAAGUACCGGAGUAACUGCCGGUACCUUGACGGUACCUAACCAGAAAGCCACGGCUAACUACGUGCCAGCAGCCGCGGUAAUACGUAGGUGGCAAGCGUUGUCCGGAAUUA
rnacentral:rRNA from 1 species